CCUGUAUCCAGCUGCCGCUCUCAUACGGCUAAUUGAAGUGCUUUGUAUAUAAGCGGGACAGUUACAUUCAGCUACCAGCCUCUGAUGAACUGAACUUGAAUCACGAAACACGUACAGCUUUACGGCAACCGCUAUUUUCUGGUUGGAGUGGAAUGCAGGCUUGGGACUAAUUGGAACGCAUGCCAUGAGCAGCAACACCGAUCUCGGCAGAUUACCUCCUCUCAGCCGGCCAGAGGGAGGAUUUCAUCUAACCACCGUGUCUCCAUAUCCUGCAGCCACAAAUUUUUCCAGAUAUGCCCGUUUGACUUGAAUUUCUGUGAGUGUUUCUAUUCUUUUCUACAAUAAACCGAUUGUUUUAUAGAGAGCACUAUGGCUUCUCCAUUUAUUUUUCAGAAUACAGUGAAGAUCCAGCCAGUUUAGAUCUAUUACUGUGAUCUAUAAGUGAUAACAUUUAUAUUUUUUCUACAGCUGUUCCAGCAAGAUACAACCAUUUGAGAACUGGAC
rnacentral:lncRNA from 1 species